UUCUUAUCAAGAGCGACUGAGGGACCGGCCCUGUGACGUCGCGGCAACCCCCUGCAAAGGGAAGGUGCCAAAUCCUGCGAAACUUAGGUUUCGGGAGAUAAGGA
rnacentral:ncRNA from 2 species